AUUCAUGGAAAUUAAUCUAGAGGAAGUUGUGGUCAGAAGCUGAAACGUCGUCUGCCUGCGUGCCAAUGGACUGUUCCACUUAUUUCCAUCAUUCUGACAGGCAGGAAAGGAUGAACAGAUUGUGUGCUUACCUUGCUGGGCCUUGAGCUGAACCAUCCACCUGUCUCACUGAUCCUCACAGUAGUCUAUGAGGUUGGAGAAGGAAAUGGCAACCCACUCUAAUAUUCUUGCCUGGGAAUCCUAUGAACAGGGGAGCCUGGUGGGCUGCUGUCCAUGGGGUUGCACAGAGUUGGACAUGACUGAAGCAACUUAGCUGCAGCAGCAGAUAGGCAGAGUUUAUAUAAAUUGGAUGCCCAGGAUUUGGGCUUCAACCUUUGGGCAUUUACUGAAGCUCUACUUCCAUGCUGGGCACUGGAAAAAUGACAUGGUCCCCACCUCAGGAAACUCAUGGCCUUCUGAGGGAGACAGACCCUUAAGAAGAUCAUUGCAAUGUACUGUACAAGUGCCGAGAAGAUACAUGAAAUGAUCAGCUUUGAUGAUCAAAGAAGCUUCCUCAAUGAGGUAACCUCUGAGCUGCAUCAUGAAGUCUGAGUUGCACUCACAUGGUGAGAAGGGGCAGAUGGUGCCAAGUCUCAGCACGGUGAAGAGCUGUGUUUUGGGAACUGCAAAAGCGUGUCCCUUAAUCUCACAUUAUAAUAAUCUAUAAUAAUAUAAUCUCACAUUAUAAAACUUGAACUUGAUUCAGCUUUGGACAAAACGGUUGUAACAAUUACUGGUUUUCUUGAGAAGUAUGAAAGCAGGGCCUUCAUGUUUGAACACACCUAGCUUCACAUCCUGAUUCUACCACAUGCCAGUAUAAUCUUGAGGGUGUUGAUAUUACUGUCUCUCUCUGAAUAUCAGUUACCUUAUUUGUAAAAUUAGCAUUUUUAAGCAUUUAAAUUUUAAAUUUAAAUUUAAAUUUUUUUAAGGGGUUAUGAGAAACAGCAUAGGUAAAGACCUAUAACAAGUAGGAUUGCUAAAAAAAAAAAAAAAAAAAAAAAAACAAGUAGGAUUGCCUGAUCUGGUGAAUAAAAAUACAGGGCACCAAGUUAAAUUAGAAUUUCAUAUAAAAACAGAUAAUUUUUUAAAUAUAACUAUGUUCCAAAUGGGCUUCCCUGGUGGCUCAGAUGAUAAAGAAUCUGCCUGGAAUGCAGGAGACUGGGGUUUGAUCCCUGGGUCAGGAAGAUCCCCUGGAGAAGGAAAUGGCAAGCCACUCCAGUAUUCUUGCCUGGAGAAUUCCAUGGACAGAGGAGCCUGGCAGGCUACAGUCCAUGGGGUCACAAAGAGUCAGACACAACUAAACGUGAUUAAUGCACAUAUUCCAAAUAUUGCAUGGAGUAUGCUUACACUAAAUAAUUAUAUGUGGUUUAUUUGAAAUUCACACCCAAAGGGGCAUCCUGUAUUAUUUAAUAUUAAACUCAUAAUUGAAGAAUAGAUGCUUUUGAAUUGUGGUGCUGAAGAAGACUCUUGAGAGUUCCUUGGACUACAAGAUCAAACCAGGAAAUCCUAAAGGAAAUCAACCCUGAAUAUUCAUCUGAAGGACUGUUGCUGAGGCUGAAGCUCCAAUACUUUGGCCACCUCAUGUGAAGAGCCCUGAUGCUGGGAAAGAUUGAAGGCAGGAGGAGAAGGGGGUGAUAGAGGAUAGGAUGGUUAGGUAGCAUUACCAACUCAAUGGACAUGAAUUUGAGCAGACUGUGGGAGAUAGUGAAGGACAGAGGUGCCUGGUGUGCUGCAGUCUGUGGGAUGGCAAAGAGUCGGACAUGACUUAGUGUUCAACAACAGCAAAAACAAACUCAUAAUAAAUGAACUGUAACUGUAAGUUAUUGGCAUAAUAGGUGUUUUUUAUGCUGGAAAGCACUGAC